rnacentral:rRNA from 1 species
CCUACGGGAGGCAGCAGUAGGGAAUUUUCGGCAAUGGGGGGAACCCUGACCGAGCAACGCCGCGUGAACGAAGAAGUUAUUCGUAAUGUAAAGUUCUUUUAACAGGGAAGAAAGAGAAAUUUGACGGUACCUGAAGAAUAAGCUCCGGCUAACUACGUGCCAGCAGCCUCGGUAAAACGUAGGGAGCGAUGGUGAUCCGUAAUGAUGGGGCGUAAAGGUUCCGUAGAUGGCAUAGUAAGUCUUUUGUAAAAAUGCUGGGCUAAAACCAGUAGGGCAAAAGAUACUGCAAAGCUAGAGUAUGACAGAGGCAAGUGGAACUACAGGUGUAGCGGUAAAAUGCGUAGAUAUAUGUAAGAACACCAGUGGCGAAGGCGGCUUGAUGGGUCGAUACUGACAUUGAGGCACGAAAGCGUGGGGAGCAAACAGGAUUAGAUACCCGUGUAGUC